AUUGCAGGCGAGGAUGCCGUAAAAGGGCGGUCUGAGCAUCCCGCUCGACCGGACCUCUCAAAUGAAGCGCGCAAAACUCAAGUCCAAUGCCAAAACUUCAAAUCACCAUCACAAUUCUUCUUCUUCUUUGAAAUCGUUCAUGGAACCCCCUGCUAACUUCUUUCCCUCGAAGCACGAGUUCCUCAGGCUCAUCGUCGUCGUUACAUUCGCAUCAGCAGUUGCUUGGACCUGCAGUCUCUUCUUCACGUCUGUUGUUGAUUCCCCAACUAAGCCAUUUUGCGAUAGCAACGUAGAGUUUCCGGAUACGUUUUCCGAUGAUUGUGAGCCUUGCCCAAGUAAUGGAGCAUGUCAUGAUGGCAAAUUGGAGUGUCUCCAGGGUUACCGAAAGCAUGGGAAGUUGUGUGUAGAAGAUGGAGAUAUUAACAGAUCAGCUAAAAAAAUUUCAGAGAAAGUAGAAUGUAGCCUAUGUGAAGAUUAUGCUCAAUAUUUGUGCUAUGGAAUCGGAUCAGUCUGGGUUGAAGAGGAUGAAAUAUGGAAUCGCUUUGGUAAUUUUGAGCUUAUGGAAAAUGUUCUUCUGGAUAAUGCACUUUAUAAUUAUACAAAACAAAGGGCAAUUGAGACAAUGGCUAAAUUAAUGGAGACAAGGAAAAAUUCUCUUGGGAUGAAGGAGUUUAAAUGUCCAGACUUAUUGGUGGAGCAUUUCAAGCCAUAUACUUGUCGCAUUCAUCAGUGGGUCUCACAGCACAUUCUAGUUUUUUUGCCGAUUUGUGCCAUGCUUGUUGGAUGCACAUUCUUCGUCUGGAAAAUCCAUUGGAAGAUACGCAUGUCAAGAAGAGUUGAAGAGCUUUACAACCAGGUCUGUGAUAUACUUGAAGAGAAUGCAUUGAUGUCAAAGAAUGUUAAUGGCGAAUGUGAGCCUUGGGUUGUUGCCUCUAGAUUACGAGAUCACCUACUUUUGCCAAGAGAGCGGAAGGACCCUUUGUUAUGGAAAAAGGUUGAAGAGUUGGUUCAAGAAGAUUCUCGAGUAGAUCGCUAUCCAAAGCUGGUGAAGGGCGAAUCCAAAGUGGUAUGGGAAUGGCAAGUUGAAGGCUCCCUAAGCUCCUCAAAGAUAAAGAGAAAAAUAGAUGCAAGCAAAAUGGAGGUCAGUGAAGGUGCAGACCUAAGUUAUCAACAACAUUCCGUUCCAAAGACUGAGCCUAAGGAACUACUAUUUUGACACAAGAUCUUUAAAUAACGACUUUAGUUUCUACUAUGUUGGCUGAAACAACUUGUGUAUCAGCCGAAGGCAAGUGCUACCUUGGUUAUAUAGAGAUAGAUGGUUUUACAGCGUGCAAGUUGUAGAUCCGUUGGACAUGUCUAAACUCGGGGAUGUGCUUACCGCGGACAAGUCCUCGAGACCAGUAGAUCUUCUGUCUAAUGGAGAAGCAGUAGUGUGGUGUCCAUAUAUUAAAUUACUGUUUGUUCAUCUUUCUUGGCUCAAGAAAGAAUGUCCCUUCUUAGAAUUAGUGUAUUGUGUGUUAAGCAUAGAUAUAGAUGUAUAUGAUUACUGCCCUUUUUUGGCAAGUCAAAAUAGGUCCCAGUAAUUCACAAACUUGCGUCCAUUUCAGCCAAGAUUAAAGACGCAUGGUUGUUGCAUCGUUACACAUUGUACAUAAAUGGUUGAUUUGAUGGGCUUAGAGAUUUCGAGCCCAAAUCCGGAGAUUGCGUUGUUCCGAAGACUUCUCAAUAACUAAUACGAUGGUGAUCGCCAUGACUCAAGCGAAGUCAGAGGAAAAAAUGACGUGACUGGGGAGGCAGUAUUUUAUGGCAUGUGUAACCAGAUCAGGACAGGACUUGCUAUGUCGGCAAGCAUUGGGUUUUCUUUAAUUUAAACGUCUUUCCUUGAUUGAAACUUGCGUUUAAUAUUAAUAAAUGACUUUUACGUGA